rnacentral:lncRNA from 1 species
CCUAUAUUAACUACCAUGUAUCAGAGAAAACAUAUAAUAUUUAUCUUUUUUUUCCCAGAAAAUUGUGAGUGCAUUAGGAUGACAGUGAGUGUGACUGCUCAUGGGAGCCUUUUGCUUCCUCAUUUUGUACAUAUCUGCAUCAGAGAAUCUACAGAGUAGAGAGAGACAGUCCUUUGUCUUGGCUGCUUAUGGAUUUAGGAAACCUGAUCUGAACCUCUGUACAGGCUAAACCAUUGUCUCACAAAAUACUCCAGAUGGAAGUGAAAAAGUUGUGUUUUAAAGGAAGGAUGAAAUGAGAAACAAAGUGAAAUAUUACAGUAUCCAUCUGGAAGAGAUAUGGAUGAGGGAAAGAAAACAUAAUUCUAUUAACUCUUUGGGAUUUUUAGAUUAUACUUCAUAUAGGAGCAAUGUGGUACUCUGCAGUACCUGCUUUGCACAUCCAUUUGAAUCUAUUAACAUUAUGACUGCUAUUCAGAAAUGCUGA